GUACAUUAAUGCUAGUUACAUUCCCGGCCCAAGAAACCAUAAUAAACAGGAAUAUAUCAUUACCCAAGACCCUAUGACAUCUACUGUUAACGAUUUCCUUCACGUGAUAUACGACCAAAUCAUACUUAUAGUAGUCCGAAUUUACACUGAGGAAGAGGAAAACCUGAUGCUGACUGGUCAAAACAAGAAUAAAAAUGACCCAAAAGCGUCUUUUAAAUACUACCCCGACUUCCAAGAGGAAGAUGAGUAUAUAGUAGUCGAGGAUUUUCAUAUUCGGAAUAAGUCUUGGCAGCGAGUAGGGGAGAAUUGUCGUGAACUGAUUUUGAAAAAGCGUGAUAACUUCGCUGUGAAAAGAAGAGUCAUUCAGUUCAAUGUUGAUUUGACAGCGCUGGAGACCAAGAACAUCACCAUCGACUCACUGGAUUUCAUCUUGCACCAGA